AGAGAGAGAGGUUUACCUUCGAAGUCGUCUAGGGUCUUCGACUAUUCGAUCGAUUGAUGGAGCUUCGAUCUUCGACUGGAUGAAGCUUCGACUGGAGGUCUUCGAUCUUCGACUAGAUGAAGCUUCGACUGGAUCGACUGGUUUAGGGCACUGAUGAUACUCUUCAAUUGAUUGAUUACUCUUCAAUUCAGCAACACUGAUAGACUAUAUUAGGGCAAGUUGAUUUCGUUUUAAUUAAUUAAUUAAUUUAUUUUUACUUUUUAAAUAUUACACUUGGACCCCAAAUAAAUAUAACAAAAUUAAAAUUCAGCUCCAUUGUGUCCCAUGCCAUGUCUUGAUAUGGACAUGCGUGUCCCCGCCAUGUCCCCUACAAAAAAAUUCAUUGAAUUAAAGGGACACGCCAAAUGGUGUGUCCCGUAUGUGUCCUCGUGUCCCUGGCGUGUCUGCGUGUCAGACACCGCCACGGCACCGAUUUUGGAGUGUCCAUGCUUCAUAGCCUCUAGAGAGUGAGACAGAUGAUUUGCAGGACCAUAUCAUUAUCUGUGGAUUUGGACGUGUUGGCCAGAUCAUUGCGCAGCUUCUUUCAGAACGACUUAUUCCAUUUGUUGCUCUUGAUGUGAGGAGUGACUGAGUAGUAGUUGGCUGUGCACUUGAUCUUCCUGUGUAUUUUGGUGAUGCUGGUAGUCGAGAGGGAUAGAUGAUCCUGCUCAAACUUAAAUAUGCUUUGUGCAGGUUCAUUGUCUGACAUGCUACUUGUAUUCCUGGCCAUGAGGUGCUCCAUAAAGUUGGUGCUGAAAGAGCAUGUGCAGCAGCAAUAACUUUAGAUACCCCCGGUGCAAACUAUAGAACAGUGUGGGCUUUGAGCAAGUAUUUCCCAAAUGUCAA